rnacentral:rRNA from 1 species
GAUCAAGCUACAAAGGGCGCAUGGUGGAUGCCUUGGCACCAGGAGCCGAUGAAGGACGUGGUAAGCUGCGAAAAGCUGCGGGUAGCCGCAAACAGGCUGUGAUCCGCAGAUGUCCGAAUGGGGGAACCCGCAUGGCUAACGCCAUGCAUCCUUAGCUGAAUCCAUAGGCUAAGGAGGGCACACCCGGGGAACUGAAACAUCUAAGUACCCGGAGGAAAAGAAAGAAUAAUCGAUUCCCUAAGUAGCGGCGAGCGAAAGGGGAGGAGCCCAAACCAGAGGAAACUCUGGGGUUGCGGACAGGUCAAGAAAGCGAAGGAGUUCUUAGCCGAAUAGGUCUGGAAAGGCCAGCCACAGAAGGUAAAAGCCCUGUAGGCGAAAAGGACUUUGAGCGAGACCUGAUCCAGAGUA